GGGGGCGGCAGCGGCGGUGAGGAAGACACGAGUCCCAGGGAGUCCUAGGAGCGCGCAGUGGGUGGGGCUGGACAGCGAGUUCCACUUCCAUGCCGCCUGCGUGGGCCUCGCGCCUACAGAUGGCCAACCUGCUGUACCACAGCCAGCACCACAUCAAGAUUUGGUUCCAGAACCGGCGCAUGAAGUACAAGUAGGAUUAUGGGCCAAGGAGAUGGCCUCGUUGUGGGGGGCCCCUCUCCCUGGCAGAGCAAGCCGUCCACGCCGACUUCAGAAACGCCCUGCAGUCCAUGACCCCCGCCCUCCUUCCGCAAAGCCCACCAGAAUGCCUACUCGCUGCCCUCCAACUACCAGCCACCUCUCCAAGGCUGCGGUGCCCCGCAGAAGCAGCCACCCCCAACCCUGGCGCCCAAUUAUAAGCCCCAGGUCCUCCAAGCCAACUGAGACGCCUACAGGACGCCCACCAUGUAGGGCAGCCCUGUGUACCUGGGC
rnacentral:lncRNA from 1 species